AUGCAGCUGCACCAUGCCGCCAAAACCCAUCGUCAUCUAUGCGGUAGAUACAACGCCGCACCACCUGGCAACCUCCACACCGUCGCCACUACUGGAGGUACUCGGAGCCCACCAUCCAUAGCAUCUCUCCCCCGAACAGCAGGUCUUCCCAAGACGGCGCCUUCAUGGAAGAUACGACGCGCAGGACGCCGCCGCCGCCCAAUCCACACUGAAUUUUGGACUUUCGUCCGGGAGGGGUUCGGAGGUGGAUAG
rnacentral:rRNA from 1 species